GAUGAACACUGGCGGCGUGCCUAAUACAUGCAAGUAGAACGCACAGAUUAUACCGUAGCUUGCUACACCAUAGACUGUGAGUUGCGAACGGGUGAGUAAUGCGUAGGUAACCUGCCUGGUAGCGGGGGAUAACCAUUGGAAACGAUAGCUAAUACCUCAUAAUAUUAAUUAUUCCAUGAUAAUUAAUUGAAAGGUUGAAUCUCACCACUACCAGCUGGACGUGCGUUGUAUUAGCUAGUAGGUGAGGUAACGGCUCACCUAAGCGACGAUACAUAGCCGACCUGAGAGGGUGAUCGGCCAAACUGGGACUGAGACAAGGCCCAGACUCCUACGGGAGGCAGCAGUAGGGAAUCUUCGGCAAUGGACGGAAGUCUGACCGAGCAACGCCGCGUGAGUGAAGAAGGUUUUCGGAUCGUAAAGCUCUGUUGUAAGAGAAGGACGGGUGUGAGAGUGGAAAGUUCACGCUGUGACGGUAUCUUACCAGAAAGGGACGGCUAACUACGUG
rnacentral:rRNA from 1 species